AUUGAACGCUGGCGGCAUGCCUUACACAUGCAAGUCGAACGGCAGCGGACCUUCGGGUGCCGGCGAGUGGCGAACGGGUGAGUAAUAUAUCGGAACGUACCUUUCAGUGGGGGAUAACGUAGCGAAAGUUACGCUAAUACCGCAUAUUCUGUGAGCAGGAAAGCAGGGGAUCGCAAGACCUUGCGCUGAUUGAGCGGCCGAUAUCAGAUUAGCUAGUUGGUGAGGUAAAGGCUCACCAAGGCGACGAUCUGUAGCGGGUCUGAGAGGAUGAUCCGCCACACUGGAACUGAGACACGGUCCAGACUCCUACGGGAGGCAGCAGUGAGGAAUAUUGGGCAAUGGGCGAAAGCCUGAUCCAGCCAUGCCGCGUGCAGGAAGACGGCCCUAUGGGUUGUAAACUGCUUUUAUAUGGGAAUAAACCUCCGAACGUGUUCGGAGCUGAAGGUACCAUACGAAUAAGGAUCGGCUAACUCCGUGCCAG
rnacentral:rRNA from 1 species